rnacentral:misc_RNA from 1 species
CGAGCAGCGACGGCAUUGCAUGCGUGCCCCGUCGGGUUUCGGCCACCGUGCUUGUGCACUCGGCCAAUGUCGGUUAAGUUGCGUUGGGUUCCUGUUGGUGUGGCAUUUUGUCGGCUAGAUUGUCCCGUUUCCGCCUUGUACUGCUGCUCCUUACGGAAACGUGGUGCGGGGUGGACCAUAAAGCGCCCGUCGUGUCUCGCAAUCCUUGCAUUUCUUCGAGAGUGCUCGGUUUGACGAACCACGGCGGCGUGCUCGAUAUCUCGGAUGCGGAACACUGAGUGGCUACGAGGCCGUGGCCUCCGAUGCCCUCUGAAAAAAGGCUUUCUACGCUGCGUGCGAACGACUUCCGUGCGGGUCUUGGUCGGGAUCCUUCGCGGCCCUUGAUCAUGCCCGCGCGGUGUCGGUGAGGAAUGCUACCUGGUUGAUCCUGCCAGUA